rnacentral:lncRNA from 1 species
UUUCUCAAAAAACUAUUCAUGGGGGAAGUAUUAAGACAUCAGCCCGUUACAAUCAAAACAGCAAAAGCACAAAUCAGGGAAUAGCUGAGAGCACGCGGCAUGUAAAUCCUCUUGCAUUUGGCACCCAAGAAAUAGGCUAGCUUACAAAGGAUAAGCUGCCAACCAAAUCAGCACAAGCAGCGGGUCACAGCACAAAGCAAUGCUAGAGCAACAAAAUCAAUAGUCUGACCGCUAAAGUUGACUACUACCUUACAAAGAACUUCUAUUGCAUGUAGGGCUGAAAAUGGACUCGGGCUAGGUCUGAAAAAGUUUAGACUGGACUUAAAUAUCGAGCCUAUUUAUUUUUCGGGCUAGGCUCAAAUAUAUCAUUGGCCUGAGCCCGGGCCCGACCCAAGCCCAAGCUUAAGCCUAAAUAAGGCCCGAAAUAGAGCCCAAAUUCAGGUCUACGUUAAUUUAUUUUUUGCAUCCGAUAUGUCAUAUAUUAAUUUUGGAAGUUACGACUGCUUUAUCGGUGCGAUAAAAUGAUAAAACUGCUUUAUUGUGACCUAAAAAUUAUGAAUCUAGAAAAGAAAUAGUCCUCAACAUAUAGGGAAAGGACCACAGUUAAUAGGACUUAUGGUUAUCAAGCAGGUGCAUACAUGAUGGCUUCUAAUUUGGAUAGAAUUUCCAGCAGCAGAAGAGAUUUUCUGAAGUUUAUCGUUAUGAAAAAUGGAAAUGGGGGUCUCUAGCCGUGAUAUUUUGGACACAUGAGAGAAAAUUAGCCACUUCUUUUUUGUUUUUGUAAGAAACCAUUGUCUUUACAACUAGAUGAAAAGGUUACAAUAUCUUUAACGAGGUAAGAUCAUAGAGAUCUAUUUUAGUCAGCAAAGGAUGAAAGUCCGGCAGUGUGGUUAUUGGAUGACCAAAGAGAGAUCCAGAGGGUAGGCAUCGGAGCAAGCCUUCGAUUUUUCGCUUGAGCAUGGGGAUCAGCCAAAAAUGUGGGAGCUUGAUGGUCAUUAAAGGUGCAAACUUUCUUAGAAAAGACUGUUUGGAGUCUUGCAGGCAAAGCUGCAAUGCAGCUCAAGCUAAUGCGCUUGAGUUAUAUGUGAUUCAAUCCCUUUUGCGGCCGUCGGGAGAUUUCAAUGGGAUCAGCUGCCUCCCUGUUGACCAAGAUGGGACCUAGUCAUUGGUCAAUUGAGAGGUGGUAUGAGGUAGGGAAGGUGAGGUUGUCACCACUGUGCAGGGCAUUGGCAAUGGAAGAAGAGAGAGGGCUGGCGAGGUGUGGGUGAGGGAGGUUGAGAGAGCUCUGGUAUAGCGCAUGGAAAAGGGAGGUUAGGGAGGGCCUGCGAGGGAAGUUAGAGGAGGUCUGAUGGGGGGUUGAGAAGGGAAAUUUGGCGAGGCAUGGGGCUGAUAGUGUUAGGAGGCAAUAUUGGAUUGGAAUGAUGGAGGGGUUCUAGGGCUUCGAUCUGAAUAGAAGAGAGAAUAUAUAUAUAUAUAUAUUGUUAAGAUGCCUACUCGAGAGCUGCUAUAACUUGUCCUUUGUCUAUUCUUACUGUAGAUGGACCUAUCGGCAAAUCAGACCUAAAUUGUACUUUAAUGGUUGACUCAAUUUACUAUGCAACUCAAAUUGCGAACAUCCAAAAAAGUAGGUUAGUCUGUAUACACAACUCGAGCUACAUCUAACUCUGCCUACAUAGCUUUAUACAGUCUAAAUUUAAGAUUUAUUCAUAUGUCAAUAAUUCUUAUUCUUCAUAUACACAUGCGACAUCAUCAAGUUAUCAUUCCUUGUAUGUGAGACAAAAACUUAUGAUAUAUUUGAUGGUCUUAUAGAUAGUCUCACAAAACUCUAGUAUGUAAGUCUCUUUUGAGUAAGCAAAAUCAUUAAAAUGUUUAAUAUUGAUUCACAAGUCUUUAUUUGAUAAUUGGGACCCAAAUUGAUGCAAAACAAUUUUUUAGAGAAUUUUAUUACAGUUAAGAACUCUAUUUACUCGGGCUUAAUUUUACUUGCAAUGAUCAUAUCUUGAUAUUUACGGCCCAAUGCUUUCUCGGAUGAUAUGAUCUCUUGCCACUAGGGUAAGGGAGCUAAUUGUUUGAAUUUUGUUAGAGUUAGCUCUCAAGAGAUAGGAUGGGUAUAAGAUAGGAAGAUAUAAACUUGGGCGUCCUAAUUUUAAAAAUAAAAAAGGUGUAUGUGUGUGUCUUGAAUUUUAUAGCCGUUAGUUUGUUCAGGAUCCGCGACUUAGAUCUUUUUCAUACUUUCUCAAAUUUUUGAGUUGGAUUCUGACCCGAGCACAGCGCGAUUAGCGAACCAAACAAAGGAAAAUUUUGUAAUUUCCGCCCAACAAAAUUCGAACAGUUUGAAUGCUCGAUUUGACUGUCCAACUGUCUUCUUUUUUCCCUUUUUUUCUGAGGUAAAGGGAGGUGAGAACGCCACCCGGAUUUGAACUGGUUGCAGCCGUAUCGCCUGGACUCUGGAUAUGUUCAACAAAUUUUUCUUAAUGUAAUGAUUAAAAGCAUGAAACCUUUUUGAGACUGGAUUAAA